rnacentral:rRNA from 1 species
UGGCCCAGAUCGUUUACCGUGAAAAAAUUAGAGUGUUCAAAGCAGGCAGAUCCAAUUUUCUGCCACCGAAUACAUUAGCAUGGGAUAAUGGAAUAGGACCCUGUCCUCCUAUUUUCAGUUGGUUUUGGCAGCGCGAGGACUAGGGUAAUGAUUAAUAGGGAUAGUUGGGGGCAUUAAUAUUUAAUUGUCAGAGGUGAAAUUCUUGGAUUUAUGAAAGAUUAACUUCUGCGAAAGCAUCUGCCAAGGAUGUUUUCAUUAAUCAAGAACGAAAGUUAGGGGAUCGAAGACGAUCAGAUACCGUCGUAGUCUUAACCAUAAACGAUGCCGACCAGCGAUUAGGAGACGUUGAAUACAAAACACCACCAUCGGCGCGGUCGUCCUUGGCGUCUCGGUCCUUCACGGGGCCGGGGCGCGGGGGCGGCUUAGCCCGGUGGCACCGGUGAAUGACUCCCCUAGCAGCUUGUGAG